GGAAAGAUAUGUUUUGGAGAUUGCUCUGCUUGGAGUCUUCUCAGUGAGCCUAAAACAAGGGUAUGGCCUUUUCUCCUUAAAACCCUGCAAGUCAUGUGAUUUUCAUGGAUACAAAUAAAAGUGUGACGCUUCAGUGCAGUGUGAUGUGAUCACCCCUGGAGGAUCACUGUAUUGUCUUCAAACCUUUGUGAUUGUGUUCCAGUAUUUAGGU